UACGUAGGGUGCGAGCGUUAAUCGGAAUUACUGGGCGUAAAGCGUGCGCAGGCGGUUGGCAAAGUCAGCUGUGAAAGCCCCGGGCUUAACCUGGGAAUGGCGGUUGAAACUAGUCGACUAGAAUCUGGCAGAGGGGGGUGGAAUUCCACGUGUAGCAGUGAAAUGCGUAGAGAUGUGGAGGAACACCGAUGGCGAAGGCAGCCCCCUGGGCUAACACUGACGCUCAGGCACGAAAGCGUGGGGAGCAAACAGG
rnacentral:rRNA from 1 species